AGGGAAUCUUCCGCAAUGGACGAAAGUCUGACGGAGCAACGCCGCGUGAGUGAAGAAGGUUUUGGAUCGUAAAACUCUGUUGUGAGGGAAGAACAAGUACCAAGUAACUACUGGUACCUUGACGGUACCUCACCAGAAAGCCACGGCUAACUACGUGCCAGCAGCCGCGGUAAUACGUAGGUGGCAACGUUUCCGGAAUUAUUGGGCGUAAAGCGCGCGCAGGCGGUCCUUUAAGUCUGAUGUGAAAGCCCACGGCUCAACCGUGGAGGGUCAUUGGAAACUGGGGGACUUGAGUGCAGAAGAGGAAAGUGGAAUUCCACGUGUAGCGGUGAAAUGCGUAGAGAUGUGGAGGAACACCAGUGGCGAAGGCGACUUUCUGGUCUGUAACUGACGCUGAGGCGCGAAAGCGUGGGGAGCAAACAGGAUUAGAUACCCUGGUAGUCCACGCCGUAAACGAUGAGUGCUAAGUGUUAGGGGGUUUCCGCCCCUUAGUGCUGCAGCUAACGCAUUAGCACUCCGCCUGGGGAGUACGGCCGCAAGGCUGAAACUCAAAGGAAUUGACGGGGGCCCGCACAAGCGGUGGAGCAUGUGGUUUAAUUCGAAGCAACGCGAAGAACCUUACCAGGUCUUGACAUCCCGCUGACCGCCUUGGAGACAAGGCUUUCCCUUCGGGGACAGCGGUGACAGGUGGUGCAUGGUUGUCGUCAGCUCGUGUCGUGAGAUGUUGGGUUAAGUCCCGCAACGAGCGCAACCCUUGAUCUUAGUUGCCAGCAUUCAGUUGGGCACUCUAAGGUGACUGCCGGUGACAAACCGGAGGAAGGUGGGGAUGACGUCAAAUCAUCAUGCCCCUUAUGACCUGGGCUACACACGUGCUACAAUGGACGGUACCAAGGGUCCCGAACCCUCAAGGGGAAGCCAAUCCCAGAAAACCGUUCUCAGUUCGGAUUGCAGGCUGAACUCGCCUGCAUGAUGUCUGAAUCGCUAGUAAUCCGCGAAUCACAUGUCGUGUGGAUAUCCUUCCCGGCCCUGA
rnacentral:rRNA from 1 species